GAAAUGCGAUAACUAAUGUGAAUUGCAGAAUUCAGUGAAUCAUCGAGUCUUUGAACGCACAUUGCGCCCCCUGGUAUUCCGGGGGGCAUACCUGUCCGAGCGUCAUUGCUGCCCUCAAGCCCGGCUUGUGUGUUGGGCCCUCGUCCCCCGGCUCCCGGGGGACGGGCCCGAAAGGCAGCGGCGGCACCGCGUCCGGUCCUCGAGCGUAUGGGGCUUCGUCUUCCGCUCCGUAGGCCCGGCCGGCGCCCGCCGACGCAUUUAUUUGCAACUUGUUUUUUUCCAGGUUGACCUCGGAUCAGGUAGGGAUACCCGCUGAACUUAAGC
rnacentral:misc_RNA from 1 species